rnacentral:rRNA from 1 species
CAGUAGCCGCGGGAAAACGUAGGUGGCAAGCGUUGUCCGGAAUUAUUGGGCGUAAAGGGCUCGCAGGCGGUUUCUUAAGUCUGAUGUGAAAUUCCCGGGCUUAACCUGGGGGCUGCAUUUGAUACGUGUUGUCUAGAGUGAGGAAGAGGGUCGUGGAAUUCCCAGUGUAGAGGUGAAAUUCGUAGAUAUUGGGAAGAACACCGGUGGCGAAGGCGGCGACCUGGUCUGUAACUGACGCUGAGGAGCGAAAGCGUGGGGAGCGAACAGGAUUAGAUACCCGCGUAGUCCCUGUCUCUUAUAC